rnacentral:rRNA from 2 species
CACGUGAAAUUCCGUCGGAAUCUGGGAGGACCAUCUCCUAAGGCUAAAUACUCUCUAGUGACCGAUAGUGAACCAGUACCGUGAGGGAAAGGUGAAAAGCACCCCGGAAGGGGAGUGAAAUAGAACCUGAAACCGUGUGCUUACAAGUAGUCAGAGCCCGUUAAUGGGUGAUGGCGUGCCUUUUGUAGAAUGAACCGGCGAGUUACGAUUUGAUGCAAGGUUAAGCAGUAAAUGUGGAGCCGUAGCGAAAGCGAGUCUGAAUAGGGCGUUUAGUAUUUGGUCGUAGACCCGAAACCAGGUGAUCUACCCUUGGUCAGGUUGAAGUUCAGGUAACACUGAAUGGAGGACCGAACCGACUUACGUUGAAAAGUGAGCGGAUGAACUGAGGGUAGCGGAGAAAUUCCAAUCGAACCUGGAGAUAGCUGGUUCUCUCCGAAAUAGCUUUAGGGCUAGCCUCAAGUGAUGAUUAUUGGAGGUAGAGCACUGUUUGGACGAGGGGCCCCUCUCGGGUUACCGAAUUCAGACAAACUCCGAAUGCCAAUUAAUUUAACUUGGGAGUCAGAACAUGGGUGAUAAGGUCCGUGUUCGAAAGGGAAACAGCCCAGACCACCAGCUAAGGUCCCAAAAUAUAUGUUAAGUGGAAAAGGAUGUGGCGUUGCCCAGACAACUAGGAUGUUGGCUUAGAAGCAGCCAUCAUUUAAAGAGUGCGUAAUAGCUCACUAGUCGAGUGACACUGCGCCGAAAAUGUACC